rnacentral:rRNA from 1 species
CCUACGGGAGGCAGCAGUGGGGAAUAUUGCACAAUGGGGGAAACCCUGAUGCAGCGACGCCGCGUGAAGGAAGAAGUAUUUCGGUAUGUAAACUUCUAUCAGCAGGGAAGAAAAUGACGGUACCUGACUAUGAAGCCCCGGCUAACUACGUUCUAGCAGCCGCGGUAAUACGUAGGGGGCAAGCGUUCUCCGGAUUUACUGGGUGUAAAGGGAGCGUAGGCGGUUUAGCAAGUCAGAAGUGAAAGCCCGGGGCUCAACUCCGGGACUGCUUUUGAAACUAUUGAACUAGAUGGCAGGAGAGGUAAGUGGAAUUCCUAGUGUAGCGGUGAAAUGCGUAGAUAUUAGGAGGAACACCAGUGGCGAAGGCGGCUAACUGGACUGUAAAUGACGCUGAGGUUCGAAAGCGUGGGGAGCAAACAGGAUUAGAUACCCUUGUAGUC